UAGUAUGCAUCUUUAAGAGCAUAUGGUGGAUGCCUAGACACUGUUAGGUCGAUGAAGGACGUAGCAACCUGCGAUAAGCCCCGGGGAGGUGGUAAGCAACCUUUGAUCCGAGGAUUUCCGAAUGGGGGAACCCUCCCGAUACGAAAGCAUCGGGAACUUCAUACUGAAUUCAUAGGUAUGUAGAGAGCACCUGGUGAAGUGAAACAUCUCAGUAACCAGAGGAACAAAAAGAAACCAAAAGACCAUUUUUUUCACACUAAUCUUCUCCGAUGUUUAAUCGGGGUCGAUUAGUGUCGAAGACUAUGGUUUCGAUUCCCUAAGUAGUGGCGAGCGAAAGGGGAAAAAGCCCAAACUUAUAUCGUGUUGUACUUGGAAAAAUUUGUCGCAAGACUUGUUGUACUUUGUACAUAAAGGACAGGCCGUUGCGGUAUAAGUGUUAUAGGAAGUUAACGUCGGCUACCUGCUAUGCCGGCCGGAAUAUAAUAUUUGUAUAGUUGAAGACUCUUGGAACAGAGCACCAAAGAAGGUGAUAGUCCUGUAAAUAAAAUACAUAUUAUAUACGGUGUUUAAUUUUCCUGAGUACGGCGGAACACGUGAAAUUCCGUCGGAAGUCAGGCCGACUAUGGCCUAAGGCUAAAUACCAACAGUGAUCGAUAGUGAACGAGUACCGUGAGGGAAAGGUGAAAAGCAGCCCGGAGAGGGCGAUGAAAUAGUAUCUGAAACCAUAUGCUUACAAUGAGCAGGAGCCCCGUUCGCGGGGUGACUGUGUUCCUAUUGAAGAAUGAGCCUGCGAGUGUGUGUGUGUUGCAAGCUUAAGGACUUAUGGUCCGGAGGCGUAGGGAAACCGAGUCUUAACGGGCGUUAAGUAGCACAUACAUGACCCGAAACCGGGUGAGCAAUCCAUGACCAGGAUGAACCUUGAGUAAAAUCAAGGGGAGGUCCGAACCCACGCACCGUGCAACAUGCGGGGAUGAGUUGUGGAUAGGAGAGAAAUUCUUAUCGAACUCGGUAAUAGCUGGUUCUCCUCGAAAUAUAUUUAGGUAUAGCUGGUAUGAUCCCUCUGGGGGUAGAGCACUGGAUGAGAGCGAGGUCCGCAAGGAUACUCCUUUCAAUCAAACUCCGAAUACCAGAGAUUAGAGUACGCAAGUCAGACGGCGGGGGCUAAGCUUCGUCGUCAAAAGGGAAACAGCCCAGAUCACCGACUAAGGUCCCUAAAUUACUACUAAGUGUAAAAGGUGGUGUUAAUUCUCAUACAACCAGGAUGUUGGCUUAGAAGCAGCCAUCAUUUAAAGAAAGCGUAAUAGCUCACUGGUCAAGAGUUUUCGCGCCGAAAAUGUACCGGGGCUAAGUAGUAUACCGAAGUCGUGAAUGUAGGUAAGCUUAGGCGAACCUACGUGGUAGAGGAGCUUUCCAAACAGCAGUGAAGCUGGAUCCGUGAGGAUUGGUGGAGCGUUUGGAAGUGAGAAUGCAGGCACAAGUAGCAAAAAUGCCGGUGAAAGUCCGGCACGCCGAAAACCCAAGGUUUCCAGGGCAACGUGAAUCGUCCCUGGGUUAGUCGAUCCUAAGGCCAGGCCGAAAGGCGUAACCGAUGGAAGAGCAGGUUAAUAUUCCUGCACUUGGUAUAGUUUGUUGUUGUAUGUACAUGUCGAGUGUUUAAGCGUUUUUUGGCUAUAAACGUUUCGCAAGAUAAAGAUGAAGCCCUCGGGCAACGUCAAUUUAAGUGCAAUUCGUGUCUAGAAAAGUACAAUAACGUUAGGCUAUAUCAAUCCGUACCGCAAACCGACUCAGGUGGGCAGGUCGAGUAGACCAAGGCGGACGAGAGAAACAUUGUUAAGGAACUCUGCAAUUUAGCGGCCGUAACUUCGGGAUAAGGCCUCCCCACGCAAGUGGGGCGCAGCUAAAGACCUCAUGCGACUGUUUACCAAAAACACAGCUCCCUGCAAAAGCGCAAGCUGAAGUAUAGGGAGUGAUGCCUGGCCAGUGUCAGAACGUUAAAGGGAGAAGUCAAUUCCUUCGGGAAGGCAGCUUUGAUCUGAAGCGCUGAUGAACGCCGGCGGUAACUAUAACCGUCCUAAGGUAGCGAAAUUCCUUGUCGGGUGAGUUCCGACCCGCACGAAUGGCAUAACGGUGUGAGAAGAUGCGACGUACCCGCAACUAGACGAAAAGACCCCAUGAAGCUUUACUAUAGUUUGAUAUUGGUAUAUUACCUCGUUUGUUCAGUGUAGGUGGGAGCCGAAAGGCGCCAAUGAGACACCACCCUUGCGCUGUGAUAUACCUAAUCUCCCGACUUGAAUCAGCCGGGGGAGACAGUAUCUGAUGGGUAGUUUAACUGGGGCGGUUGCCUCCCAAAAUGUAACGGAGGCGUUUACAAAGGUCAGCUUGGUCCGGAUGGAAAUCGGACUGGACGUGCAAACGCAGUGGAAGUUAGUGAUCCGACCGUACGAUAUAGGACGGCGGAAGCUCAACGGAUAAAAGCUACUCUGGGGAUAACAGGCUGAUCGCGCCCAAGCGUCCACAGCGACGGCGCGGUUUGGCACCUUAACAAAAUCGGGGUGCACCAACAGUGAUGUUGUUCCAAAAUCUUUUCGUUAAUAAUUUAAUUAUAGAUAGAGACAAAAUAAAAUCGGCUUAUAACGGAGAACCCGUCACCACGAAAAUGGACAUUGUCACAUCGUGGCCGGCAACCCCGUGGGAAGUCUGCGCUUAAUCGGCGCAUGACCCUGUAACGACUGACCCGAAAGGGAAGAUCCUGAGCGAAUCUUGAGCGUAAGCGAAAGAGGAGUCGAAGGAUAACACGCCGACUCUUGCUAAGUCAAACUGAGAUCAUGUCCGCCAGUGGGCGGACUAAAAUCCAGAGCAAGAUGAAGAUAUAGUCUGCGCCAUAUGAAAGUAUGGAAAAUAGUACGAUGUCGGCUCAUCGCAUCCUGGGGCUGGAGAAGGUCCCAAGGGUUAGGCUGUUCGCCUAUUAAAGCGGUACGUGAGCUGGGUUCAGAACGUCGUGAGACAGUUCGGUCUCCUAUCUGUUGUGGGCGAUGAAUGUUGAGAAAGCUCUUCCCUAGUACGAGAGGACCGGGAAGGAUAAACCUCUGGUGUGUCGGCUGUCCUGCCAAGGGCACCGCCGAGUAGCUAAGUUUAGCACGGAUAAGCGCUGAAAGCAUCUAAGCGCGAAGCCGUUUUCAAGAUUAACAUUCGCUAUAGACUCCUUGUAGACUACGAGGUUGAUAGGCGCUAGGUAAAAGGCCAGUAAUGGUUUAAGCCGAGGCGUACUAAUAAGUCGAGCAUACUACG
rfam:Parcubacteria (Magasanikbacteria) bacterium GW2011_GWC2_37_14 TS42_C0008, whole genome shotgun sequence.